GAUGAACGCUGGCGGCGUGCCUAAUACAUGCAAGUCGAGCGAAGCGGGGACGGGGGAGUAACACGUGGAUAAACUGCUAUAAGGAGAGGGUAACUUCGGGAAACCGUAGCUAAACCGGCUAAUUAGAGAUGGCUACGCGCUGCACUAGCUCGUUGGUAAGGUAACGGCUUACCAAGGCAACGAUGCAUAGCCGACCGGAAAGGGUGAUCGUCCACACUGGAACUGAUACACGGUCCAGACUCCUACGGGAGGCAGCAGUAGGGAAUCUUCCGCAAUGGGCGAAAGCCUGACGGAGCCACGCCGCGUGAGUGAUGAAGGUCUUCGGAUCGUAAAACUCUGUUAUUAGGGAAGCGGUACCUAAUCAGAAAGCCACGGCUAACUACGUGCCAGCAGCCGCGGUAAUAC
rnacentral:rRNA from 1 species